rnacentral:rRNA from 1 species
ACAGGUGCUGCAUGGCUGUCGUCAGCUCGUGUUGUGAAAUGUUGGGUUAAGUCCCGUAACGAGCGCAACCCUUGUCCUUAGUUGCCAUCAUUUAGUUGGGGACUCUAAGGAGACUGCCGGUGACAAACCGGAGGAAGGCGGGGACGACGUCAAGUCAUCAUGGCCCUUACGAGUAGGGCUACACACGUGCUACAAUGGCAAGUACAGAGGGCCGCAAAGCCGCGAGGUGGAGCUAAUCUCACAAAGCUUGUCGUAGUCCGGAUUGGAGUCUGCAACUCGACUCCAUGAAGUCGGAAUCGCUAGUAAUCGUGAAUCAGAAUGUCACGGUGAAUACGUUCCCGGGCCUUGUACACACCGCCCGUCACACCAUGGGAGUGGGUUGCU